UAAUAAACUCACAACUUUAUUGCCCAUAACAUAUCAUCAAAAUCUAGCCAAUUCCAUGUUAGAACAAGAAGUUGAAGACAAUGACUACUAUUUCGGCACAUUAGCUAUCAAAUGCCGAUUCACGUAAAAUCAAAGAUCCAAACGUUAAUGUCAAGAAUGUGAACACAACAAAGCUCUUAAAAUGGUACUUCCAAGACCUCAAUUCACCGCAACAACAACAAAUAAACAAAUAAAUAAGUCAAUAACAUAGGAGAGGAAUGAACUUGAAAAUACAAGUCUUUUCUUAAUAAUUGAAAAUAUAAAAAUCAGCCACAACAUUUGAAUCCGAAUUCAACUAAAAUUGGCAACAAGAGUCGAGCAGGAACACGAAUCAUAACGAACUCGAACGGAAAACACAACUCCAACCUUAAGCAAGUCCCAUUUUUUGUCCGAAAAUUCCUUUAUUUUGUUCUUCUUCGGUUAUUCCCCUCUGUUUCCUGUAUAUGUGUGUGGAGUUGAAGGGUGGAUACGAUGGCAAUAGGAGUGGAUGUUUUUGGUGGUUGUUUGGGGGUAAGCAGUGGCGCUAGGUUACAUGGGUGGUCGCUUGGUGGCAUGAGACGGAGAAGAAGAUCGGGGGAGGGAGGAGGGGGGAUCUUUGUUUGUGCCUUAGCACUAAAGAAGAUCCAGGGCCGGGUCCGUUUGGUGUUCUCUAAGGCUGCAAUUGAAGAUGACGAAGUCAGGGGUAUUUUUGUUGAAAACUGCGCUCACUCUUUGUACCUAGUUCUAGCGUCAUAGAGUCUCUAUUACUUUUCUAGACUAGUUUUUGGU
rnacentral:lncRNA from 1 species